rnacentral:rRNA from 1 species
ACUCAAAGGAAUAGACGGGGGCCCGCACAAGCAGCGGAGCAUGUGGUUUAAUUCGAAGCAACGCGAAGAACCUUACCAGGUCUUGACAUCCAUCUAAAGCCAUAGAGAUAUGGUGUCUCUUCGGAGGAGAUGAGACAGGUGGUGCAUGGUUGUCGUCAGCUCGUGUCGUGAGAUGUUGGGUUAAGUCCCGCAACGAGCGCAACCCCUACGGAUAGUUGCCAGUGCGUAAAGGCAGGCACUCUAUCGGGACUGCCGUGGAGAACACGGAGGAAGGUGGGGACGACGUCAAAUCAUCAUGCCCCUUAUGACCUGGGCUACACACGUGCUACAAUGGCUAUUACAAAGAGCAGCGAGACCGCAAGGUGGAGCGAAUCUCAAAAAGAUAGUCCCAGUUCGGAUUGUGGGCUGCAACCCGCCCACAUGAAGUUGGAGUUGCUAGUAAUCGCGAAUCAGCAUGUCGCGGUGAAUGCGUUCCCGGGCCUUGCACACACCGCCCGU